GGGCCAGGUAGUGGAGCGCCGCAUCCGGGUCGCUGCCCCGGAGGGACUUCAUCAGGGCGGAGGCGGCGUCGUACAUGGCGUCGCCGCCUCU
rnacentral:tRNA from 1 species